AACUUAAGACAAACAAAUCAAAACCCUAGCUUCCAAUUUCAUACCAAUGGUUUGCAAGUCUUCGACCACUACCGUUCCCCCGCCCCUCCGUCGCCUCUCUCACCUUUGUCAGAUUCUACAACGAAGUUCCUAUACAGCAAAGGAAAAAUCAAAGGAGUCCAUGCUGGAGGCAAUGAGAUCUGUUUCGGUAAAUCAUACAACCCAUGAACAUUCGUCGUUUGUUGUGGUGUGUUUCCGUUCAACUCCGUUCGAGUCAGCACAACACCGACUCCGUUGCCUCUCUUCAGUCCAACUUUUAGGGCUCAAAUGUCAUCUAUCAGAAACAACUGUUUCUUUAAACCCAUAAACCCCAUUAUCGCCACCGGACCACCGUUAUUGUCUCCAGGACCUUCACAUCAACUCUUAUUUGAUAGCCGCUGCAACAAAAACAUCAACUUACAAGAAUGAGGGUAACGAUAUUAAGGGAGUUGUGGAGGAAUUUGGUAUACCGAAAAGUGAAAAUCUGAAUCAACUCGAGUUGCAAUCUUCAUAGCGUUUUGCAAACGAAAUGUUUGCACUAGUCUUAUCCUUUGCCCUUCUUCUUACUUCCUUAAAAAGUCGCAAAGCAAGAUCGUGGGGUUAUGGAACAGGGUGGCUAAGGGGAUUUAUUGUGGAUUAUGGGGUCCCGGUUAUGGUGGUUGUUUUGACUGGUGUAUCAGACAUACCAACUAAUAGUGUCCCGGAAGGAAUGCCUAGGCGACCUUUUAGUCCAAAUCCGUGGUCUCCUGGUGCUUAUACAAAUUGGACCGUUGUAAAGGAUAUGUUGACGUUCCACUUAUUGGAGCUUUUGUUCCAGCCACCAUGAUUACGGUUCUUUAUUAUUAUGAUCAUAGUGUUGCUUCUCAAUGUGCACAACAAAAAGAGGUUAAUUUAAAAAAAAGUCGUCUUCGUAUCAUUAUGGUCUUCUUUUGUUAGGUUUUUUUUGGUAAAUAAACAUUCACUCCAUGACAAUUACUUCUUUUUUCUUUUUAGUACAUAUAGUUAUUUAUAUAUUAUUUUUUGUUAAAUAGAUCUUAAUAUGCUGGCGAAUUGGCAAUCCUCCUGCCAAUGGAGUUAAUCCACAUUCUCCUAUGCACACAAAGAAUUUGGUGGGGCUUGGAAUGAAAAUCGAUAUAUGCAUACUUAUCACGGCAAAUUAUUGAUUCAGUAACUACAGUUAGAAUUUUUAUUGUUGAAACCUUUGCAGACCAUUAAUUAGUGUUAGUUAUUUGGUACCUUCUUACGAAAUGACCUGGACCUAUUUUGGGGAAAACACGUUCUGACCUGACCCCAAACAACCAUCUUUUGAACUAACACGUUUUGCCCCAGACCCGUUCUAGCCCCAACGCAUCCUGACCCGCCACCCACCCGACCCAACUCAACCAUUUUGCCACUCAUCCGUGCGUAAAACAAAAAAAAAUACGCUUAUUUUACUAGAAGUUGUAUUAGUUGUCAAAGGAUUUGAAGUUGAUUAGUUGUCAUAGGAUUAGAAGUUGUAGUUUUCUUUGGUUGAUUACCCGUUUCAACCCCUUGUGCUCAAUACUAGGUGGAUUAGUUGUAGUACGUGAAAGCUUAAAACACAAAAUUUCCUACUAUUAUGAACUGAUUUUACUAGAUGUUGAUAAACAUAACAGUGGUUGCUCACCACAGUUUAAGAAUGACAUGGCAUCAUAUAUUUAGACACUUAAAAGCUGCAUUUAAGAAAAUUAGAGCAAAAGAAGCUGAAUAAUUCUUUCAUUCAAGUAUAAGAAAUAGUUCAAAUAGGUUGACGCCUGGUAGAUUGACGCUAAUUUGGUUCUGGUAGAACCACGUUUUGCCCUAAACUAUUUGCCCAUAACACCUGUAUUCCAUGGAAAACCAGUCCCUUACCUUCAUCUCAUUCUUUUC